GAUGAAUGCUGGCGGCGUGCCUAACACAUGCAAGUCGAGCGGCAGCGCGAGUAGUUUACUACCUGGCGGCGAGCGGCGGACGGCUGAGUAACGCGUGGGAAUCUGCCCUAAAGUGAGGGAUAACGCACCGAAAGGUGUGCUAAUACCGCAUAUGGUCUUCGGAUUAAAGAAUUUAUUCGCUUUAGGAGGAGCCCGCGUCGGAUUAGGUUGUUGGUGAGGUAAUGGCUCACCAAGCCGACGAUCCGUAGCUGGUCUGAGAGGAUGAUCGGCCAGACUGGAACUGAGACACGGUCCAG
rnacentral:rRNA from 1 species